AAAGGCUGCGCCUGGCAGGGAGGCGAAGCUGCUGGCGGAGGGAGGCCGUGGGCGGAGGACUGAGGCAGCCCCCCUGCGCGCCCUUCGGCGAUGGAAGGCGGCCAUACAAAGGCAGGAAGCGAAGAAGGGAAAUGCCAAUUGCCUGAAAAGCAACACACGCGCGCACACACACACACACACACACACGUGUGUGCAGCGCGGAACUUCGUCGUCUCCUCCUUUCCAUGAUGGGACGCAGGAAAGCGCUUCCAAGUUUGGGGCUGUCCACCAUGGUGAGUCAGACACUCCUCUCUAGAGGACGGAGGGCAAGCCCCGCUCGUCUCCGGGGGCGAUAAAUCAGAACAGCCUGAUUCAGCCCAACCGCAAGCCUUGCGCUGGAAGCGGGAAAAGCUUUGUGGGCUGCUACAAAGAAUCCAUUAUGACCUGCCAGCCACUGAUGCCAUCUUCCCUUCCAGUCUCCUGGCCCACCUGCAGAUUGCCACUCCAGGUCUAAAGAUACCAGCUUGUGCAUUCCACCUGACACAGACAGCUGGCAUACCAUAGCACCUCUUUUUAAACAAGUUUCACACAGAGAGAUUCUUAAAAUACAGAGGCCAAAAUGACAAAUGUUUGCACUGGGUUUUGCUUUCAUUCUAAAGUAGUUUAAUCAUUAUAUUCAAAGCUAGAUGGGACAAUGGAGCCUCCCUAUCCAGUACCAGCUAUCCCUCACUGAGGACACGUGGCAGGGAAGGGAGCCAGUGAAAUGCAGUGUUUAAAGUUUUGGACUUGAAUGAAUGAAAACAGGUUUAAGUCCAGUGUAGAGACCCAGGGAGCAAAUACUGUGAAACUGAACAGAUCAUCCCUUAAGCGCUGGGAAGGGAGACUGUGAUCAGAAGAGGCUCAGGUGGGCUCCUUCCCACUCCCUGGCCAGGAGAGGGAAGGGAGGGCAGCCCAACCAGGCUGGCAAGAUUCUGUUGUGAUGGCUUAGCCCCGGAAAGUGGGGUUCUAGUCUUCCAGGGGAGCCGGUUUCCAGAUCUGGUGUACCUGGAAGGGCUGACCUCACUCACUCGGUCUCUCUCAGCCCCAUUUACUUCACAGGGUUGUCGUUAUGGGGACCAAGUAAACAGAAAGGAAACUCCCUGCCUGCUGCUUGGGAAAGCAAAAGGGAAAGUGAUGCCGUUUAGUCCUAGCAGUUGACAUCUGCCUCCCGUUGAAUGCAUUCCCCCCUCCAGUCAGGCCCAUUUCCAGAUGUGGUGGGGUGGCAGGAAUGCCCCCUGGGCCCAGCCCACCACUCGCCACCUCGGAGC